rnacentral:rRNA from 1 species
UACAGAGGUGGCAAGCGUUGUUCGGAAUUACUGGGCGUAAAGGGCGCGUAGGCGGCCUUCUAAGUCAGACGUGAAAUCCCCGGCUUAACCUGGGAACUGCGUCUGAUACUGGGAGGCUUGAGUAUGGGAGAGGAUGUAGAAUUCCAGGUGUAGCGGUGAAAUGCGUAGAUAUCUGGAGGAAUACCGGUGGCGAAGGCGGCAGUC